AAGCGCGCGCAGGCGGCUUGUUAAGUCUGGUGUGAAAUCCCGAGGCUCAACUUUCGGUCUGCCUUUGAUCCUGACAGCUUUGAUUCCAUUUAAGAUAGUGGAAUUCCACCUGGUACCGUUAAAUUGCUUAAAUUUGUCUAUAAACCUCCGAUUGCAAAGGCAGCUUAUUGAGCUGGUCUUGACCCUAAUGCCCGAAAGCGUGGGGAUCGAACAGGAUUAAAUACCCUGGUAUUCCACGCCCUAAACGAUGAUGACUCGAUGUUGGCGAUUCACCGCCCUCGUCGUAGCGAAUGCGUUAAUUUAUCCUCCUGCGGAGUACGCCCGCAAGGGUGAAACUCAUAGGAAUUGACGGGGGCCCGCCCAACCAGAGGAGCAUGUGGUUUAUUUCUAUGAUACGCGAGGAACCUUACCCGGGCUUGAUAGUUACUGAAUGAUGCAGAGACACAUCCGUCCUUCGGUACACGAAACUAAGUGCUGCAUGGCUGUCGUCUGCUCGUGCCGUGAGGUGUUGGGUUAAGUCCCGCAACGAGCGCAACCCCUAUGUUUAGUUGCCAUCAUGUCAUGGUGGGGACUCUA
rnacentral:rRNA from 1 species